rnacentral:lncRNA from 1 species
CUCACAGUCACACUGUUCUGUGUGCUCUCUGCUAUUAGGAAGGAUUGAAAGACAAGCCCACUCAUACUUGUUCUUGGAUUUAGCAAUAUACUUUAGAAUUUAUUCACUUUACUUUUUCUUCUUGAAAAGCUAUUUAGGAAGGCAAAUAUAGACAACAUGAGUAAAUUAAGUGAAAAGAAUCAAAGCUUUUAGAAAAUCAAGUUCAUGUGUGAAAAUAGAAGAAAAUAAUUACCCAGAGCAAAGGGACAUCUUGAAAGGUCAUCUGGCCCAUCCCUGUGGAUUAUGCAAGCCUGACAGAAAGGUAUGUAACCCAUUUACAAAGUACCCCAGAAGACUUCUGUGACUCUUUCUAGAGCAUAGUCAAAUUUUUAAAAUAUUAACUAUUAGGAAUUUUUAAAUGUCUAAUCCUAUUCUUCAUGUUAUAAUUUAACCAUUAUUCAAAAAAAAAUAUCUAGGGACAUCCUGAAUCUUUCUCUAAUGCCCAUCCCUAUUUCUUUAUGCAUCCCUGCUCAUUUUUUUAAACAUUUUUUUUUAGUCAUAGAUGGACACAAUACCUUUAUUUUAUUUGUUUCUAUUUUUAUGUGGUGCUGGGGAUUAAACCCAGUGCCUCACACAUGCUAGGCAAGCACUCUACCACUGAGCCACAACCCUGGCCCCACACCCCUGCUCCUUUUAGCCUAUAUUAGCUUUGCUACGUUUUACUUAGAACUUGGAUGCUAUUAAUUUUUAAAAAUAAUUUAAAAAUAAUAAAUUUGCAAAAUGACUAGCAGAUAGUUUUAAUAUAUGAGACACUGUUAGAAAUUAGUCUAGAAAAACAUUAAAGACCAGCAUAAAAAUAAUAAAUAAUAAGCAGGCAGUUUGCAAAAGUAGGAUGAUAGUCAAUAUACAGACAAAAAUUGUUCAUGGUAAUCAGUAAACAAAAAAUGCAAACUUCUGGGCAUGGUAAUGCAUGCCUGUAAUCCCAGCAGUUUGGAAGGCUGACAUAAGAGGAUUAGUGUCUCAAAAUAAAUUUAAAAAAAUGGCUGGGAAUGUAGCUCAGUGGUAAAGUGCCCCUGAGUUAGACUCCAACAGAAGAAGAAGAAACAGAAGGAGAAGGAGAAAAAGAAGAAAGUUGAAAUAGCAUAUUUUAUGUUACUGGAUAAGCACAGAUUUAAAAGGACAACAAUGUUGGGUAUAACAAGAAAGAAAAGCUACACACAAACACAGGUCACAGUGGGAAAAACUUUCAAAAAUUAGUUUAAAAAUUCAUAUCAAAAAAUUUUAAAAUGUGAAUUUCCUUUAACCUAGUAAUUUUAUUGAUAGUAAUUAAUUAUAUGGAGACAACCAGGCAAAUAAAUGUCUUUGUUUUAAUAGUAAGAAGAAUUAGGAAAAUAAGAACUUGAAUUGUCUCAAAAAGGAAAAUGAGUAAAUUAAGGUAUACCUAUACAAAUGGAUUCUCAUGAAAGCCAUUACAAAUGCUACAGAUACAUGUUCAUUGACAUUGAACUCCACGGCCCAUUUUAGUUUAAAAUGAGGUUGAAAACGUCACAUAUAGUAUGAAUCCAGCUAGGUAGAAUCCAGGACUGCUUUAAAAGAUGUCUGGAUGAUAUAAACCAAAAAGGCCGUCUGCCUGGGUAAUGGUCUUAUAGAUGUUUGUUUUUCUUUUUCAGAACUUCCUUUAGGUCUGAGUUCAUUUUCUGUUUUGUUUGUUUGUUUGUUUUGUUUUGCUUUUGCUUUUUAUUUUUUUAGGUUGGUUUUGUUUUUUAACAGUUAGUGUAUGUUGCUUUCAAAAUUUGUAAAAACAUAAAAAAGCUAUUUUUGUGUUGGCAGAUAAUCUUCAUAAUCUUAAACAUUAGUUUGGUGAAUUUGUGAGAGGUUUGAUGCUUAAUCCCCAUAUAUCAAGUUGCAAUGAAACCAUGAAUUAAUAAACUACAAUCUGUGACAUUCACAUUUUCUUAAUAAUGUGAAAGAAAAUACAUAACAACUUGAUUUACUAGGGUAAAUCAAGUUGGGUCUAAAUGAAACUAAUACAACCAGAUAAGCAAUUUUUUAAAAAUUCACUCAAAUAGAUUUUCAUACUUCAUAACAUAAAUACCUUUGUAUUUCAAGGGAAAAAACAAACAAACAAACAAACAACAACAAAAAAAAAAAAACCUCCUUACAUUUUACCCAUGAGCUACUCAGCAUCCUGGCAUUUAAACUAUUUGAUUUUUUUCUGAAUGUUUUAAAGAACCAUAUUCUCAUAGAUUUUCAGGUCCACAUUUAAUCUGUAACAAGUAUGAUGAAGCAUAUUUCAAAAGAACCUUUAUUACUCCAUGUGGCCUCUGUAUAGCUGAGGAUAGCUUACACAAUGAUAAAAAAUCAUUUUAUAGGGAAUUUGCAAUUACUACAUAUUUGGUAAAGAAUAUUACAUUUCUUAGCACAAGAUCUCAGUAAUUAUUUAAUUUUGGCUGAGUUUGAAUUAUCCCUAUAUUUUCUAAAGUUAUCCACCACCAAAAUGUCUCCUAUGAACCUCCUAUUAGAUUAGACCUCAAAACAACACUGCAAGCUAUGUAUUAUUAUCUCCAAUUUAAGAUGUUAAACUUGGGCUCAAUACUUGGCCCAGGAAUGGUGUUGCUGAAACUAAGAAAGCAUCUCACACACUAUGCAGCCUCCACAAGCCUGGCAUCUAUUUUCUUAAUAGAAAAGAUAGCUUUUCCCCAACUGUUCACACUUUGGGGCUCGUUUUCCUCGUAUUACUGAACCCUUCCAGAUGGAAAAGGUAUCUGAGAUUUUCCUCCGUUUAUGCUUCUGGGAAAUGAUAGUCAGGCUCUGAUGGUGGAUAGAAGGCAAAGCAGUCCAAUGGACAAGUCAUAGUUUAACCACAGAUGGUCCAAAGCACCUUGAAGUUGCUAUCCACUUUUUUUGUUCCCCAUUUGUGGAAUUGGAGCAGGUGUCCCUGCUACCCUUAUUAACUGGUUGCAACUCUGCACCCCUUCAGCAUGUAUUUUAUCCUUCCCAGAAAAGUUUUAAAAAAAUUGUGUCAUUGAGACUUGAGAGCAGAAAAGGAAGUAAAUGCCACUGUUUUAUCCAUCACAACUGAAAAUCUAGUGUUUAGCAGCCAAUCAAAUUUUAUUUGAGAGCCAGAGCCUUUAAAUGCUCUCAAGUGCUGGGCUCCCAGGAUGACUUGGAAACAGGACACAAGGCUCUGGUUGCACAAUAAGGAAAGCAUUGCCGUCAAGGAUGAGUAAAUGCACUAGUCAUUUCCAGUCUUCCUCUGGCUAACUUUGAAAAGGAAUUACUUAACCUUGCACUGGUCUUCCUCUCUUUAUUAAAAAGCUUUGUUGAACUUCUCUUUGUCGAAGAUCCCACGAUGCUUACCACAAUCUCUUCCUACCCUUCUCAUUCCCUGAAUGGCAGUUCUUUCCACUCCCUCACCUUUCAUUUCUGCAUGCUUUAAAAUAUGAAAAACAAGGGGAUAAGUUUGAACUUUAAUAAAUCCAAGGGAAAUAAAAAAAGAGCAAACACAUUCAAACAGCAAAUAGGCAGAAAGUAGGGACACAGGAGGCAAGGAGGGAAGGUCUCGAUCUAGUAGGGUGGGGAUCAGAAACGUGUGGUGUUUCCUCUGCUUGGCAUGAGUCACUUCACAUGAACUCCAUCUAGAAUAGGGACAUGUAAGAACACUUCCUUAAAGACAUUCUAUGUGAGCAGACACAGUAAUAGGUAAAAACUGUUAACAAGUUGUUUCUAUAAAAACUGAAAGUAUUAUUUUUAUCCCUUCCUUAGCUUGCAUGGCCUUCACAUUUCUGUCUUGCUGAUGUUAGAAGAGGGAGUGUUAUCACUAAUUAUUCUCUAUUUAUAUGUAAAUAUUUGGCUAUUUUAGUAGAGUUAAUGAGUUAUAUGGUAAGUAUGAGAUUGUUCAACUUAUUGAAAAUAAAAAUCAGAUUCCAUUUUUUUUUCAAUACUGACUGGGAACCUGUUUUGGGUUCUAUUUCUAGGCAGUAAUAGAAACUAAAUAAAUGCAAAGUUCUGCCAGAUGUGGUGGCACAUGACCUGGGAUGCCAACGCAGGAGGAUUGCAAGUUUGAGGCCAGCUUCAGCAGUUUAGCCAGACCCUCGGCAACUUAACAAGACCUUGCCUCUAAAUAAACAAUAGAAAGGACUGGGCAUGUUGGACAGUGGUAAAGUGUCCCUGAGUUUAAUCCUUGGAAUAAAUAAAUAAAUGUAGGAUUCUGACAAGAAUUAGGGCAAUGGGAAAAGUGAAUGAAAAUCAGUGAACUCCGUGUUAGUUGUAGUAGACUGAGGCUCUGAAACCCAUCCUGAGCUUUUUCUUCUUAGUGAAGAAACUAAGGUAAACUCAAUGAUUUGGUCUUCAUCCACUGGAUGACUAUAUUCUGUAAGCUAUGGUCCAACAGGAAUAAGGUGAAAUCAUUUUCCUUAGAUAGCACACAUCAUGCACAGAAAGACAAAAAAAAAAUACAAGUAAACUAAUAAAGCAACUAAAUAAUAUUGGGAUUAAUGAGUGCAGUGAAGAAAAUAAGGUAGAAUGGAGAUUCCCUCAGGGAUUUCUUUAGAUACAGUGCUCCUGGAGGAGUUCUCUAAGGAGCUGCCAUGAGGGACCAGCUGAGACUUUAAGGAUGAAUGAGAGGAUGGUACUAAGAUGGAGCAGGAAAAGAGCCUUUUAAAAUGAAGGAAUAGCCAUCUCAAAGGUUUCAGGAAGGAGCCAUUAGGCAUGGAACAGAGAGACUGGUAAGAAACGAGGUCAGAAAAAUGGUUCCUCCCAGAUAGUGUCUGGCUUUUGAUGUCACAGAAAGGAUCCUGGAUGUUGAUCAGAGUGCAGUGAGAAGCCACUGGAGCAUUCCAGCAAGAGGUGAACUAUGUCACCUAUGCUCAUUUUUGAAAGAAAAUUCAGCCUCCCCUGUGGGGAAAUAAUUAUAGGAUGAUAAGAAUGAAAGGACAGAGGAGAUGAGUUCGGAACCUGCUAUAUAAAUCAGGACAGCCAAGAUGGUGCCAUGUACCAGGUUUAUCAUGCAAUAUGAAGUAGGAUUGGGGCUUGGCUUUUCAUGGUGCCUCUAGAAGUCUUUGGCAGCGUUCCUUUGGAAGAUAUUCAUAUUGUCUCACAAACUGAACUUGUUGGUAAGAGUCAGAACUAGAGCCCGAAACAGAUGUGCUAGCUCCAUAGCUCUACCUAGAAAAAAACAUUUUCAGUUUUAGUUCCAUUCAUCAUGAUUCUCUUCUCCACUUCAAGAUCAUUGCAGGACAACUUGAAUUGUAUAUGAUGCUUACUGUCUUCAUCCUCACCUGCUGCAACCCCUAGAAUUGUCAACCUCCCCAAACCACUACAGCAAAGAAGAAGGAGGCAGAGAUCCCAAGUUGUUCAUGUUAAUGUGGGAAAUGAGAGGUAGAACUGCUGGCAGAACACAGGUACUAUGCCUGGAUUUCAAUAAUGCUGUAAUCAGAACCACAUUGCUUCAUAACGGGAAAUCUGGGCUUCUAAGAACUGUGAAGUGGAGAUUUACCAACUGACCGAAUCAUGCAAAGAAAAUGUCAAACUGUAGUAACAGAUUUUUGUACUCUUGUCUGCCUGAAGAGCAGAGGUUGGGGCCCCUGUGGGGCACAGAUCACGAAGCACACAAUUACCCAAGCUCCAUGUCUCAGUAAAGAGUUUUGCUUAAGUGUGCCAGAUAUUGUUAAAAACACAAAGAACCCUGUUCAUAAACACCAGGCUUUAUACUGAUCCAAAAGCACAUGUUUAUUUGUGUGGUCAAUGGUCUGCAUACUUUAAGAAUCAUGUAAAUAAUAAAGUCAAACUACUUUAUUUAGUAUGAGUGAAAUUGAUGGCCCAAUAAUCAGACACAUUUGUGGGCUGAUGUAUCUGUACAUAUGCUAUUGAUGAGAAAUAGUUACUGUACACAUGUGAAGGAAUUUAUGAAAACAUACUUCAAAAUUUACAUAUAUUUUCUUCUGAAGGGAUCUCUCCUUCAUUUUGUGAAUAUAAUUAUAAAAUAGAUUUUUUUUUUAAAGUGACUACAAUGGCUAUUGCUUAGCCAUGCUUCCAAGUAAAAAGUUAUACAGCAAUUUAAGAUCAAUCAGACUUGGAGUGGAAAAGGUUUCUAACCCAUUAAAUAUAAUCAGAAUAUCUGGAUAAUUUCUUAAGUUUUACAGUGGGGGAAAAAGUAGGUAACUCUUUACUUUUGAAAGUGAGACAAUAGGUUUUCUCCCCAUUUGAACCUUAACCAGAAAAAACUGGAAAAAAAAUCAUUUCAAUCUCACUGAAUAAAGUAUUCAAUCAUAACUACAUUUUAAGAUAUGCAUAAGUUUCUGGGUUUCCUUAAAAUGCUCUAAAAUUUAUUUUAACCAACAAAUUAUUCUUUUAACUGAAUAAACCUUUUUCUUAAUUUUUUUGUUUUUAACUAUGGCUUCACACUUUUGUCUACAGUAACCUGAAACCUCAAUUCAGACAUUACUCACUGUAGAUAACUGAGCCCCAAUGAAGUUAUCAUCAAUUAUUAACCAUUUUUAGAUAUUUAUUUUUCUCAGGUCCAGCCAGCAAUAAGUUGAAAUUGGCAUAUAAAUAACACAAAAUCAUUUUCUGAUUUUCAGAAAAGCAUAGCUGCUCAUUUGCUGAACUUUACACCAGGAUCUGGGAUGACAAACUUUUCCCUUCUAUGCCCAAGGCUAGACAUCUCCACUAGAACACAGCAUACUUUUUUCUCAGACCUGCCUGAGACCUCAUGACAGAAUCCACAGGGAUCUACUGCAAAAAGAUGAAAAUAGUAGAGGAGAAGAAACCUCCUUGCUCUUCUUGACCAGUGUGCAGUUUUGGAUUGUAUUUUUUUUUUCACAUGACAGGAACAUAAAAAAGAACUUCUUAUUCAUGUCACACUUUCCAGAAAACUGCAGAGGAAAGAGCAGAGAAGACAUCCAGGACUGAAAAGUACUGAAAGUCAAGACCAAAAGAUGGAGGGAGAGGGAAAGUAACUCAUGUGUGCCCUGCACAUGUAAUCUAAAUAAGAUAAUCCACGCAGAAUAAGUCAAUGACAGCAUUGUCAAAAUGGAAAUUUGAAGUGCUCAGUGAAGUCAGGAUCUAGUCCAUCGCCACUCAGUUCACCAUGUUUCUAUGGCCAAGUCUUAGCAUAUUACAGCUUUUGUCUGUGAGCUGUAAUUCACGGGGAUGGGGCAUGGUUUAGUAUUGUUCUUAAUUUGAAUUCUAUGGAAGAGUUGAUUAUGGGAGAUCAUAUAGCAGGUGAAAUGUUUGGCUUUAAUGAGAAUCAACUGCAUAAAAGUUCUUUUUGGGUAUUGGAGUAAUACCAAAUAAAAACAAGAAACAAUACAUUUGAUAAUCAAAAGAAAAAAAAACCCUGUCAUUUUAGGAAUACAUUUAAAAAGUAAGUUUCUUCUUAAAUACCAUUAAUUUGCAUUCUUAUGAAUAAAAAUAUAUACAGAUUAAAAUAACAUCAGUAUUUGAAAAUUAACUAGCAAUGUAAAUUAAGAAGUCUCUUAAUUAGAGUAAUUAAUAUUGUUAUGUUUUAGCAUUCAAUACUAUAUAUUAUUUUAGUUUUCCCAAUAGCUAAAAUAAAAUUCCUCAAAAUAUACUGUUUAUAGCCUCAUGGUUUGAAUAGAUCAAAUGUACACUCUGAUAAGAAGAGAGACCAGCUUACAAAUUUAGAAAUGUUAUUUGAAAUUUACCAAGUUAUUCGAGAUAUAGGGCUUGUUCUUUCUCAAAUUUUAAAGAUGAAUGAUGUGGGGUUUUUUCCCAGUUAGUUAUAGGGUAAACAUCACCAUCACUCAAAGAAAAAGUAACUGUAAAUAACCUUAAAACAUUAAUUUAAAAAUUCAUUUCAAGAAUGUAUUGUUUAAUUCACGACAUUACAUAGUUGUUUUCAUAAAGCAUUUGGCACACUGUAAUCAAUUAUUUUGUUUAAAAUAUUGGAGAAAUUUAGAUUUUUAAUACUUAAAUAUAGUGGUAAAUAUAUUUGUGGUAUCUUUAUAUUAGUCCAGGGAGCUAGAAUAGUUCUUGCUAUGAAAAGGAAACUGUUUAAAACCAAUUUAAAUAAAUUUAAGAAUGGUUCUACUUGUAUCAUUAUCAGUUAUCUUCUUUCCAAAAGAUGUCUUGAAGAAUAUCUUCUUUUACUUGAAUAUUUAUGCCCAUACGGUUUCAAUUACUUUCCUUUUCCUAUUUUUCCAUUCACACUUCAAACCUAGGGAUUAUGAGUAAUAAAUAAGUUGCUUCCACAUCUUGUUCAAUUUUAGAAUUGGGAACUACUUGCCUGGAUAAUGACUGGCUUCACAUUUAUUGUCAACCACCUCCAAUGUCCCUUUUUCUGAUCCUCUCAAGAUACAGCACAUUUGUGAAAUAAACAAAAGAGAAAAGAAAAACAAUAACGUCUUAUUUUUAUACUUUCUUUUAGAAUGGCUGAUUCUUUGGCUUACGAUUCAAGUUUAGAUUUACUUUUAAAAGUAUAAAAUCAUUACCUCAAACAUUUAUCAUUUUUCAUGGUGAAACAUCUUAAAUCCUCUCUUCUACUUAUUUUAAAUCACAUAAAUUUGCACAUUUAUUAUGUAUCAUCAAAUAAAAGUAAUAUAAAUCUUUAAAAAACAUAGAAUCAUAUUUUAGAAUAGAUUCUGCAAGUAGAACAGUAUUUCUUACUAUAGCGUCACACGUACGGUCUGCAAGAACUAGAAAGAUUCUCUAUAUUUGCUGUGUUUAUGUGUUUUAAGUGGUCUAAAUUUUCUUUCCACAAUCAAUGUAAGCAUACAAAUGUAGCAUCGUAAAUGUACACAAUGGUGUGAGCUAACCUGAAAUAAUACUACUGUUGUUUCUGGGACUCUUUAAAAAAAAAAACACACAACAAUUUUUCCCCAGCAGCUGCUUCUGACUUCAGUUUUGAAACAUUAUUUCCAUGCACAUCCUUGAAUUAUUUAGAAUUUCUCAGUUUAUGACUCCUCUCUGCUCUUCCUGGUUGCAACACUUAUUUUAAACUAUUGUCCUGAGAAAGAUAAAACAUAUACAAUACUGAAUUCCACAUGAGCCACUUCUUCAUGUAAAUAGACUUCUCAAUAAAUGCUUGUACUUUCUAGAUUGAGUGUUCAGUAAAGUGAGUACAUAGUUCAUUAGAGUAUUAAUAUAAACCAUUGUAAAAUGAGAAUUUGGGUUGAUGCAGAAGCUAUAAAUAUAAUGCAAAAACAGUAAAGAAUGUAGUCUGAGUUUCUUCAAUAAAGAAAAGAGAAUUUAAAAAUCACUAGCUAUCCAAGAAAAAAAUUAAAAUUUACUCAAAUACCAAAUACUUCCAUAUUUGAUAUGAUCACAUAGAAUCCAUACUAUGGGCAAGAUAUCUCAGUGUGUAGGGGAAAUGGUAACACCACAACAGACCAGGAAGCAUGUGACCAAGGCUCUUUCUAAGCCAACCCUAGCUUUCUUUGCUUUUUACCUUUACACUUGCCUUUCCUUCAUUCCUCUCUCUCUCUCUCUCUUUUUUUACUCUUUUCUCCCUUAAAACAUUAAUUUAAAAGUUAAUUUCAAGAAUGUAUUCUUUAAUCCAUGACAUUACAAAGUUGUUUUCAUAAAGCAUUUAGUACACUGUAAUCAAUUAUUUUGUUCAAAAUAUUGGAGAAUUUGCUUUAUGUCCUGAUAGUUUGGGUCUUCUCACCACUCAACCUCAUUAAAAAAAAAAAAAAAAAAAAACAGGUUUUAUUUGACUUGAAUUUUCAUCCAGAUGAUUUACAUUCUACAGACAACCCCAUUUUUCAAAAUAAGGUCUGGCAAUAUUCAGCUGUGAGUUUCAACCACAGAUGCCAAAAAUGCAAGGUGCUAUGAUGGAGUUUUAUAGUGUCUAGUGGAAAAACUCGUAAGAGGAAUUCUUUCUCCAUCAACUUUCUUGCAUUAAAAGGGUCAAUUUUUAAAAAUAAACUCAGGUUUAUGGAAGAAUCAUCAAACACAAAGGCAUGAUUCCUUAGGGCAAAGCGUCUCAGUUAAGACACAUUUUUACAAUUUGCUUCUAUUCCAAACGUUUGAUCAUUUUAUUAUGUUUGAAGGAGUUAAAACUUUCUCUUCGGAUGAUCUUGCAUUCUCCAAUAAAUGUUGUUUAUAAAAACUGUAAACAAAUCUGGCAGAAUACAUAAAAUUACCAUCUAAGAAUAUAGCUUCAAAUAAUCAUUUUUAAAAGUAUUUAAAGAAAAUGUAAGCUGAUAGUUUUGUGAAUUCUUAGUAGAAAACAGGUUUUGAAAUUUAUCCUGAUAGGUUAUGAAAAUGAUUUUUCUGGAUGUAUUUCAAUAAGAAUGUACAGGUUUCUCAAUGCCAUAAGUUAACAAUAUGUAAAAAUAUAAAACAGUUUAGGACAUUCAUUUUUAAAUUGCUAUUGUGAAUAUUUUAAUUUGCAUUAAAAUUUUUGUGUCAGCAAAUUUCAAGGAAUUCCAUAUGACACUUUGAAAGUGAAUUUUGAUGUAAAUAUGAAUUUUUAAAAGCAUAUGGAUUUCACCAAUGGUUUUGAAAAUCAUUUUUAAGGUCUUCAAUAGUAUUCAAAUUAUUUAAAAUUUAGACUUGCCAAACUAAAAUUUUAACAGCUUUAGCAUUAAAACAAAAAAUAUUUAUUUCUUAUUUCUUUCAAUUGCAGAAUGAAAUAAUAUAAAAUUCUUAGGAAAAUAAUAUUGAAAGUUUUCCUUGAUCCUAUAGACUGGUAUUGCUCCUUUUUUGGUCCAAGAUGUGAGUACAGACAGGAAGCACAAAAUAUAUUUUUCUAAAUGAGUUCGAAUUUUUUUUUCAAGUGCUGGCAUUUCAUGUAUAGCUUUCAACUGUUUGUUUUUUGGACAGGAUAUUAUAGUAACUUCCUACCAUUUUAACUCAUUUGAAAUAUAUAUGUAUUUUGAAAGUCUUAAUAGCCAAAGAUAAAAAUCAAGAAUCAUAGACACAUUUCUAGCAGGAAAUUUUAAAACCAUACAUGAUUUUUGCCAGGAAAUUCUAUUCAUUUUCAACAAACAUCUUUGCAAAUAAGACAGAAUACACAAUAAACAAAAUAUUUCUCCUAAUAUAUAUCACAUAUUAAAUAGGUAGCAGUUAUUACAAUGCACAAUAUUCUUUACCUUUUCUAAAUUAUUUGGAAAUACUUCAUAAUGUCAAGUAACAGCUCAUUUAUUUAGAUUUAGAUUUAGAUGUUUUUAAAGUGAUGAUCUACUUUUAGCCAAGAAAUUGCCUAAGUAAAAUUAUAUGACUGUGACUAACACAGGGUGCUUUUGUUUUUAAAGGGAAAAAAUACAGUUACCUACAUUGUUGGGAUGUAUUUAUAGAGCAUUUUUAUUGUUAAGUUAUGCUUUUAGAGCUUUAGGAACAUUUGAGAACAAUAAUCAGUGGUGUGUAAUGGUAUUGUUAGUGGAGCCUUUUCUAUUGAAUUUUCAAGAUGUUGUAAAAUGAGAUUAUGUGAGCAGCACCUCUGGACACUUUUUCCCAUCAUUGUGUUGGUAUCAAUCGCUGACUUCCACCAUUUCUCCGGGUAUUAAAUAGAAACACUGGUUCCCACUGCCUUGAUUGGAGGGUUUAUAAUACAUGACAGAACUGAUAACCUUAAUGAGACUAAGCAUUGUGAUCUUAUGAAAGCUAACUGAAACCUGCACUGCAGAGAGUAUCUCUAAGACCUGAGAAGGUGCAAGAAAAUGUUUUACUUUGAUUUCUUAUUUUGAGUGAAUGCCUCUCUCCUCAGGCAAACUUGACCCAGAGAGACGGUGAGAAAAUUCAUCUUCUGCAGCUCUAGCCACAGCUGGGCAGAGGCAUUCUCCUGGCAGAAGUAACCUUUGCCAGAUGUCCAUGUUAAUGCCUUAUUGCAGAAAGGGUGGCGCUUGAUCACUUACUGCGCACGGACAGGUUGCCAGCACACACCGGAUCAGUUUGCAAUUGGCAGGGCUCUGCAUGGCUGGAAAUCCAAGUCUGUAUAAAGAAGGGGUGUCUAUUCCUGGCUCUGCCCCUGGAGUCAUCUAUAACUAUGUAAAAAGCCUUAUUACAUUUGCUUCUCAAUUUCACACACACACAAAAAGAAAAUGAAAUUUAACAAUCAACCAUUGACUCUCUUCUAUAAGGAGUUAUGAGGAUCAGAUAUUAAAGUAUCACCUAAUCUGAUAUAUUGAGGGUGGUAUGCCAGUUUGUGGGACCUGGCGGCAGAGAUCAACAGAUCUGCAGCUGAUUAAUGACAGUUUAAAGAUGUUUGCUAAUCUUAUCACCCUCACUGGUCAUAGACAACCACCCAUGAUCAGAAGAACAGAAACUGCUUGCUCUUGAUUCUUUACUUCCUGGACUGAUCUUAAGAAAGCAGCUAUCUGGAGAAUGCUUCAUCAUUAGAGAAGUGCUGCCCGUCACUGACUUGCUUACCAUACCUUAUCACCUUUCAUUUAAUUUCUUUAUUUACAUUGACUUUUCUUCCAAAUCUAUUCAAUCUACCCAAUAUUCUCAUUGACUUAGAAGCAUAAUCCCUCCACUUCUACACAUUCAUGGAUAUUCUGGCCCAGUAAUCUUUAUUCUUCUCUCAAUAUAGAUAAUAUAGGAGUUAGCAUCCUUUAGUGGACCCACUGGAAGGACCACAACUCUAUACCCAUUUCUGUAUUUUCCCAAACCCAACAUCAUCUUUCCACUACUUCAGAUAUAAGUAGCUGGUGAUAACAAAUGCAUUACCUUACUUAAAAUUGUAUUUUCAUUUUACUAGGUGAUAGAGUUUUAAUCCAAAUAAAUUGUGUGUGUGUGGGGGGGGGGAUUUUUCCUAGGAAAUGUUCUAUGCUAAAGAGUAAAAGCACAAUAUAAGAAUUUUCUGAAGAAAAAUUUAGCUACUAAAAAGUUAUAAUGGAUAGAGAUAGCUUAUUUUAUUCUGAUCAUAUAUGAAGUAUUAUAUUUAAUUGUGAGCCUCUUAUUUUAAGAAGUUUGCCAAAUCAUAAACUAUUCAGAUGAGUGUAACAGAAUGGGGUAGAGGUCUGAAAAUUAAAUUGCAUUAGGAAUAAUUAAAAUGGAUGUUUUGUGUGAAGAAAAGAAGACCUGGAAGAUAGGCAUCCAUGAAUAUAAUAGAACAAUAGAAUAGAAUAGAAUAAUUGGACUUACUCAAUAUGGAUCACAAGGACCAAAUCACAUAAUUUGCAGGAAGAAAGAUAUGACUUCAUGUAUGGAAUAAAAUUCUAUUCACUGCAUCUGUUAAAUGGGAAUCUUCUUUAUGACAGUGUCUGAGACAGAUACCCAAUGGUUGCAAUGAAAGCCUUGCUCUAGCAUAUAUUUUUUAAAGUAGAUUAUUGAAAGACAAGGGAAAUACUUGUAAACUGCAGUCAGUGCAGUCACACUUCAGGGAAAAUAAAAUAGUAUAUGGCACCUCCUCUCUACCCUGUUCUCUCAUAAACCAUAAGAUACCUAUUCUCCCUUUCUCUAAGUCUGUUACAUUCUUCUCUCUUCAAAGGAAUGCAUGAUCCUUUGAGAGAUUUCAGGCUUCUGUGACUCCAUAUUUUCAACUUGUAUGCAGCUCUGUCUAGCCACAGGAACAACUCUAUACCCAUUUUUGUAUUUUCCCAAACCCAACAGCAUCUCUCCACUACUUCAGAGUCUUGUAGUUCACAUUCUCCCAGUAGAAUAUUAUCUAGUUAAACCUAUUUACUUCAAUUUUUUAUGCCAAGUAGGUUGGGUCUACUAGUUACCAAUAUGGUCAAGACUUCCAGGUUAGUACUGAGACCGGAGGAGAGAAUAUGAAGAGAUAAUCAGUAGUAUCUCUAUAAGGUAAAAGUUAGCUCCUUCUUGCUGGAAGUCAACAGACACUGAAUAAUCAUCCUACUGUACUUUUAUAUGAAGGCAAUAGAGAUACAUUAGGAAGAUUAUCUAUAAAACCCUUCCAACAUUUUUAUAUUUCAAUCUUAAAAAUUUCAACAGAGUAAAUAGAUUUGGAGGAGAGAGAAUUUUGCAAGCCUUUUGGUCAUAUGAAGUAUAUGAUCACAAUCAUACUAACAUUUACCCAACUAAGUAUCUUCCGUCUUAGUGUAUGUGUCCACCAUUCAGCUCAUGGAUUUAGUCAAAAAUCCAGAAGUCAUUGUUGACUCCAUCCUUUCCUUCACUUUCCAAAUUCAUCAUUCAACAAGUCCUGGCAAUUCCAUCUCCUAUACAAGCCCUUAUUCUAUGGAAUUUUUCUUGUCUCUCUUUAUGACACCUCAGCCCCAAUUCACCAUUUUUUCUCACAUACAAUAUUUUAAACAUUUGCAAAAGGUAAUUCUAACAUCAUUCUACACACCGAAGCUAAAGAACUUCUCCAACCAACUCUGAUCAUGACAUUUCCUGUUUAAAACAACACUUACUCUAAUUUUAAAAUCAAAUCUACAUAGUUUGGAUCUUGUCAGUUUCUCUGGCCUCAUCAUAUACCACAUAGAUCCUGGUUCUUAGAAUAACAACUUCUCCAUCUCCUCAAGAGCUUUGAACUUGCUACUUCCUCUACCAGGAACAUUUUGUUCUACUACUCUUUCAGUGAAUGCUGCCAACUCAGCCGUCACAUUUAAAUUAUGCAUUAUUUCCUCAGGGACAUCACCCUGCUCAAUGUUGGCUCCCAUAGCACAUAAUUAUUAAUCUUUUGCAACAUCCAUCUCAGGUGAACUCACUAGUCCUGUGUCUAUCUUUCCCUCCAAAGUAUAGGAUCAAUGAGGACAACUUCUGUUUUCAAGGCAAGAUUAAUGCUUGACAUAAAAUAUGACUCAAUACAUAUUUGUGGGAGAGAAUGAAUUAAUGGCCAACCUAGAUCAAAUAUCAGGCAUUCUAAAGAGGUAAAAUUCUAAUUUUCUUACAUUUUUUAGAGAUGAUGAGAGCUUUACACUUCUUGAGAUCUCAAAAUAUGAUUAAGAAAAGUAAGACUCUUUGUGAAAACUUAUAAAAUCAAGAACAUAUUUUUUUAAAGGGUUAGAUUAUUUUUCCACAGAAAAUAAAAGCAACAAAAAUCUUAAUGUGAGUUAUGGUUGGUAAAACUAAAUAUUGGCAUUAAGGGAUGUCAAAUGCAUAUAAGCAGAAAAAAAUAACAGAUCUUAAUUUUUUAAAAGAAAUGUUAUAUAUUAAGAGUUUAAUACAUGCCAGGCUGUGUUCUAGAUGAUUUAGAUAUAGAUAAGUUGAAAAAAAAUAGAAACUAAUGUCUUCUCUCAUGAUGUUUACAUUCUAGUAACACAGCAAGACUAAUCAAAUACACAAACACAGGAAAAAAAAUGGAGACAAUAUCCACUGUGACUUGGCCAAAAUUUUAUAAAAACACUUAAGUAUUUCUGAAUUUGAUCUACCAAAUGAUAGUGUUUUUUUAAUUCUACCCAUGGAUUUCCUAGGACAUCUUCUAGAUAUUGCAGAAAGACACAAAGGUGAGGCACUUUGAUAAAUGCAGAAGUUGAUAUAAGCUCUGUGGAUUUACCACUACAGACAUUUAUGUUUAAAUAGGUAAAUAUUACUUGAACUUUGUUAACUUAAAUAUUUCAAAACAGCAGAAAGGCUCUUAUAUCAGACAUCAAAUAGGUUUACAAGGAAUAAAUUAAUUGUAGUAAUUUUGCCCCUUUUUUAUUUCCUGAAACACUCAGAAUUUACAAUGAACAGCAACGACAAGGCCAGUUGACAGAGAAACCUCAGAGACAGCUCCACAGUCCUCACAGGUCGGACUGGUCAUGGGAAUGCUGAGGAUCCAGAUGCUAAGAGUUAAAAGAAGCCACGGAAAAUUGGGUGAUAUGAUAUCCUUUUUAACCCUUCAUUCUGAUUCUUAGGGGAUUGUAUGUUGGUGCAAAGCUGAACAAUAGACUCUGCAAGAAUGAAGUUCACAGUACAAUAGUGUAGACAGAAAUAAGGCCACUGAGGAGGAAGAAGGCUGCCUUCUGCCUUAAAAUUAAAGCCAAAUUUAACUCAAAAUGAUAAUUCUGAUUAUAAAAUCAUGUUUGUAUUGGUUCAGUCAGGGCCCAGGAAUAUUUUAACACAGGUCAUCAAUGUGAUAUCUGAUAACACUAAGUUGUCAAUAAUGGACUUAUGUAUUCAUUUUUACAAGUAUUUAUAGGACCCACACUGUUUAUCAGACACAGUUCUAAGCAGUGAACCAAAUAAUAUUGUGUGGAAGAUGAACACAGAGUGAAUAAGCAAUCACAUAUCUACUAUGUUGUGAUGUCUGAUGAUGACCAGAGAAGCAGUAGGAGAAGAGAAUGCAGGGUGGUGGCACUUACGAUGAGGAGUGCAGAUGUGGCCUGUCUGUUAAGGUGACAUUUGUGCUACAGAAGGAUAAGCCAGGAGAAGCAUGGUCAGAGA